UGUUUGGUACACUUUUUCAACAGUCCCACAGACCAGCCGGCCAGACAGGCCUCAGACAAGUCAGGAUGAGGCUGGGAUUGCAGGUUCUGCUUCUGGAAGCCGACCUCCUGUAAGGCGCCCAUCACAGGGCUUGGGCCACUUACCCAGGAGGCCAAGUAAGACACGGCGUCUUGGCUCGGAAUCUGCGGCUCCAUCAUCCCCACCCAGGCGACGACUUUCGGCAGUGUCACCCCAGCCACCACUGGCACUAUUGGCGAGUUCGCAGAGUGAUGAGCCCCGAUCCCCUCAGUUAUCUGAGCCCAGCUUGAUGGCCGACGUGGACAAGACCAACAGGCAACCAUCACACUGCAACUUACACCUGUUGACCCAAGCCAGCCAAUACAGCUGCAGGAUAUCCCCCAAGCCUCCAUCAGUCCACAACUGGCACAAGCUCCGCCCCCAAGCCAAAUACCAGAUGAUUUUUGGGCCAGUUGGACAAGCCAACAGGCCCAAAGCAAUGCCAGCCUGACCGCACAUACACAACACCUUGCCAGUCUGCCCCAUCAUCUACCGCGUAUUAGUCGCAACUCGGGCAGACUGAUUGUACAAGUAGGGCGAAUGGCAACCUCAAUGGAGCAAAUAAGGGCUGACAACAGCCAAAUGCUUGCUCAUUUAUCGCGCAUCAUAGAUGAGCAACAGCGCCAUCAGCAGGCACUCGUUCAGCUCAUUCAGCACAACCAAGUGGUGAAUGAGUCGUUAUCCAGGAUUGUAGCCAGCCACACUGCAACCAACACUCAGCUGAUUGCAAGCCUUAAUAAUUUGAGCAGCAAUAUUUCAUUGAUGGGAGCUCACCAAGUAACCUCCAGCUCGGGGACAACGACCCCUAUCCAAACGCCAGUAACCUCCCCUGUUCGGCGUUCCUCCAGAGCACGUGCCAGUGAGCCAGCACAAAGCUCAGCACCCAGCACACACAAGCGGAAAAAAUAACCCCAAUGUGAUUGGCAAAAUAAAAAUUUGUAUUUGACAAACACACAA